GAAGCUAUAGUUCAAUCGGUUAGAGCACCCGCCUGUCACGCGGGAUGUUGCGGGUUCGAAUCCCGUUAGCUUCG
rnacentral:tRNA from 2 species